CUUUCCAGUGACCAACUUUAAUUCACGGUUACAGGAAGUUAUAUUAUAUAAUUAUCGGACAAAUCAAUAGGGAAACCUUAGUAACAAAACUGCACCAUGAAUGAUACUGAUACCAUGGCACAGGCGGCACAGGUUGAUUAUGCAGUUGCAGUUCUACUAACGUCAUUAGCAUCAGUGACAAUUUUAGUUGACUUCACAUAUAUCAUUGUUUGUUUUAAGGCUCUGAAGAAAACUUUCUACCAUCUUACAAUAUUGGCUUUGUUUUUCAGCGACAGUACUUUGGGGAUUUCGUCAGCAAUAUUUUCGUCAGGAUCUAUAAUGAAACAUGAACACGUUGGAUCAUGUCUUCUGCAGAUAUUUCUUAUUGCAUUUGGCUUGCUAUCAAAUUAUUGUUUGAUAUUUCUGCUUUGUUUACAGAGAUUUUUAGUGGUUAGAUCGUUUAACUUCGGAACUAGUAAAAAAUUUGAUAGGAACAAAUAUACAUACAUUGGA